rnacentral:rRNA from 1 species
AAAAUACCUCUUGGUUUGAGGACUGUCGUGCGCAAGCCGGCUUUCCUUGCACUUUCCAGUCUAUGUUUUAUAAUAUACACCUAAAGUAUGUUUCAGAAUGUCAUUUAAUGGGCAUAACUGCCUUUAAUUACCAUACAACUUUCAACAACGGAUCUCUUGGCUCUCGCAUCGAUGAAGAACGCAGCGAAAUGCGAUAAGUAAUGUGAAUUGCAGAAUUCAGUGAAUCAUCGAAUCUUUGAACGCACCUUGCGCUCCUUGGUAUUCCGAGGAGCAUGCCUGUUUGAGUGUCAUUAAAUUCUCAACCUUUUCAAUCUUUUAUUGGUUGAAUUAGGUUUGGAUGUGGGAGUCUUUUUGCUGGCUUCUUUAAGAGGUCGGCUCUCCUUAAAUUUAUUAGCAGGACCUUUGUUGCCCUCUCAGGUGUKUAGUGUGAUAAUUAUCUACGCUAUKUGCUGAAAGCAACUCAUAAAAUAGGGUUCCAGCUGCAAUCGUCUGCUGUGC